AGAGNGAAAAGGAAUACCACCUAUAAACUACCUCCUUUUUAACCUUUUUUGCUUUUCUUACUGAAAGUUUGGGUGAAAAGGAGUUAAGCCCUCAGUUCCCCAAAAAGCUCUUUGUUUUUUUAAGUAAAUUAACCUUUGGUUGUUUGAUACCAAGUUUCCUCAAGUUUUUUCUUUCCCUUCAUAAUGCAGUCAUAGGGGACGUUCUGGUUCCCAGGCAAAAUUCAACAAAAGUAGCAGAGAAGGAACGGUAAACAUAGGUGAAUAUUUAUUGAAUGCUUAUUCUGUGCCAGGUGCUAUGCUAAGCAUUUUACUUGUAUCGACACAUUUCAUCUUUGCGAUAAUCCCAUGAACUAAGGAUAUUCUUCCCAUUUCACAGAUGAGGAGAUGGAGGCAUAAAUAGGUUAAGGAACCUUCCUGUAUCUCAGUAGUGAGCAGCAGCGGUGUGACCCAUGGCAGUCCGGCUCCGGAGCUCUCUCCAGCCACUCUGCCGUGCUGCCUUACACACACGCAUUAAGGGUAGAUCUCGGAGGGCCUUGCUAUCUUGAUUUCAGCGUAGCUCCACAGCCGUUCAGGGCAUUGGCUUUGGAGUCACAGCCAAGUUCAAAUGAUGGUCGUGUGACCUCACACAAGGGAUUUUAUUAACUCUCUGUAUUUCUGUUUUUUCAUCUGUUCCUAAGGUAAUAUCUACUAUAAUGAGAGGUGUUUAUGAAACACUUAGGAUCAGUGCCUGUCAUAUGUAAGCACUUAAACGGCUCUAUUUUUCUUAUUGGUCCAGGUCUAGUCUCUUGAUCUUUAGUUUCUAAAGUUCUUACUGUAGCCUCUAUUCAUAUGGCUCUUAAGUAAUAUGUAACACAAAUGUGAAAGUGUUUAUCUCUCAUGUACUUCACAGUCUGCUAGACAUUUCAAAAAUGAAUAAGAUCAUCUGACCGCUGGGAACUUUACUUAGUUGAGGGAGACAGGGUAGCUCUGCGAGCAGCUCAUGUUACAUGAGUAGUGAAGUGAAAUUGACUUGGAGAGUCAAGACAUUCCAGGAUGCUAGAAGUCAAAGAGAACAUAUGGAUCUAAAGACUUCCUCUCCCAGGAGUUUAACUCUGUCUCCCCACCAGGGAAGCCCAUGGUUGUCUAGCUAGGCCCGUGAUUAAGUGGAUUAAUCUCUAAUUCAGGGAUAUGGACUCUUAGCCAGUCUCCAUUGCUACGUAUUGAAAAAACAUGUUCUCUAACUUUGUUAAUAAUAAAAGUGAUGUUUGAUAUAACUUCUCUGUCAUGGUUGUUUCCAAAUUCUGGGAGGAAAUACAAGGAUGUUCUCACCAAAUGAGCUGUUUUUCAGUCCCCAUUUCUCCAUUUUUAUCCAUAGGAUAUUAGAAAUGGUCAUAUUGCUUGCUGGAAUCAAGAUAGACUCGAAGUAACACUGGUGUGGUGCGAUCUGUUUUGGUGCUGGUAACUACCAGUGAUUCCUACUCCUUUAAAAAGAAAAGGCAGCACAAGAAUUUGAGCCUGAACGUUUCAAAGAGUAAAAUCCACUCCAUCCCACCAGCCACUUGGAUGUAUUUCGGUUACUUUUAUAGGUUCCUUCCCCUGACCCUGAGACUUUGAUUCUGGAGUGCAUCUUGGAGAUCCCCCCAAGGAUUCUGAUGAAGUGCUGUUAGUCCACUGGUCUACUGCUCACCUCAGAUGAGUCCACAACCUCAGGUAGGCGGAGCUAUGGGCUUUCCCCAUUUAUUUUCCCCAAGUUUGCAAUUUUUAUUGCCAGCACCAUAAGAAUGGACUUUUUGCCAUCCAUUGCAAGCCAAGUUGGCUCUCUCCAGCAGCGGAGCUCCUGGCUUUCAGUGUCGGCCUCAGCCUGGUAGCAAUGGGGCACCAACCAAGUUGGGGGAGCUGGCGGGGAGUUGGGAGAUCAGAACAGCUUCUGGCAAGAAUGCCACAGACUCCCACUACUCCUGCCCACAAUUUGCAGGGUUUAAAAAAAAAAAUGAAUGAUUCUCAAUUUGUUGUUUGCCUUUGGUCAAUUUCCAGAGUCCUCAAAUGAUUGCUUUGACGAUUUUUUCCAGUUUACUCUUUUCUCGGUGGGGCGGGCAGUGGCAGCAGUGAGAUUUGACAUCUUCACUCCAUCAUCACUAGAAUCCCACCUAUCCCAUUUUGUCAGGUCUGAGAUUUGAUUUUACCCCACUUACCAUCUAAUAAAUUAGCCUGCUCUGUUUCAUAGGUGCUGGCAGAAAACACCAGACUCCCAGCACAGAGACAAAGGACUUGGUUACCCAUGGCAGAGCAAUGGGCAUUACCAUCAGCAUAUUUGCAGUGGUUCCUCUUGCUCACGAGUCCUGUGGGGGUGACACGACGAGGCUUAGGUGGGUGCUACACACGCAGUGGGUUUGUGUGACUUCUGAGGAACACAGAACUUCAGGAACCCACCACUUUUAUAGCAAGCAGUAGGCAAGCCUGUUCUUUGUCCUGGAGGGAGACAUCACCUCAUGUCUCAAGGUGGUUCACUAUAAACACCAGCCUGGGAAAUGGCUCAGACGAGGAGUAGUCGGGGUCUUGCGUUCUUGACGUACCCAGCAAGACACGGAGAAACACGAGAGACACAUGACAACUGUCUCUCCCAGCUCAUUUUACCCAGUUUAUUGGAAUGAAGUUUUUCAUAAUAUCUUUCAUUUUUUAAAUUUCUUAUGAUCGGUAGCAGUGCUUCCUUUUUCCUUCUAAUAUGAUUCGUGUCUUUCUGUCCCUUUUUUUCCUGAGUAGUUUUAGUAGUGCCUUAUUAAUUUUAUUAGUCUUUUCCAAGAACCAUCUUUUGCUCUUGUUGAACCUAGGUUACUUCUUUCUACUUCUCCGAUUUCUGGUCUUAUUUUCAUUAUUUCCAUUUUUUUUUUCUCUAUUUGGAUUUCAUUUCCUGUUCCUCCUCAUCCCCCUGUACGAAUUUCUUGAUAUGGAUGUUUAGAAAGUUGAUUCUUUGGCUUUGUUUUCUAAUAUGUACUCUUAAAACUAGAAGUUCCCCUUGAGUUGUAUUUUUAGUUAUGUCCCACAAGGUGUGAUAUGUGGUAUUUUUAGUAACACCCAGACCAAAAUAUUUUAUGAUUUCUGUUGUGAUUUUUUUGACCCAUGUGUUAUUUUGAAAUAUGUGAUUUAAUUUCCAAACAUAGGGGUUUUUCUAGUUAUCUUUUUGUUUUUCACACUAAUACCUAGGUCAGAGAACUUAUUCUGUAUUUCAGUCUUUUGAUUUGUUUUGAUUUUUCUUUGUUGAGAUGUGCUCUGUGACCAAAAAUAUGGUGCAAUUUUGUUAAUGUCUGACUUUGUUAAUGUUCCCUGUGUACUUGAAUAUGUGUCCUGAAGUUGUAUUGGGGUGCCAUAAUCUAUAUAUGUCAAUCAGGUCAAGUUCAUUAACCAUGUUCAAGUCAUUUCUGUCCUUACUGAGUUAUGUGUGGGUAUGUUGGGCAUAGGUUAGAUAUCCAGGGAAAUGGUUGAGUAAGCUAAAGAGGUCAGAGGCUCAAGACCUUGAAAACAUCAGCAUUUAAUGCCAAACGCUUCAGGGGUGGGAAGCCACAGGAAAAACAUUUGACAUAUGGAGGAGCCAUCUCUUCUCUGGUUUAAUUAGCACUCCUCCCCACUUUGCUUAUUUCAUUCAUUCAUCAUUACCAAUGAAUGGAUCUUAAGCUUCCUUGCUUAUUCUCAUGUUAUUGUGUUUCUUUUCGACUAGACUGCAUGAGGACUGGAACCAUGUGUGUCUUCUUGACACUAUAUCCCUCCUGCCCUGUACAGAGAUGAUACCAAAUAUUUGUGACGUAAUGGUGCUUUUUCUUGAAAUGUAUACUUACUUGAUCAUUUGGGGAGAAAAUUAAAGUAAUUAACUCAUAGCCAAUUCAACACAUUUUCUUAGUACACCACGUGAAUAUUUAUGAAGAACAAUGCAAUUUGGAUCAAUUUAAAAUAUAAAAUGGAACAACUCAACGAAUUCCAGUUUGUUUCCGUUGGGCAGAAGGAACCCUGGAGAGGAAACUGACACGGUGGCUCUUUCGCAGGGAUGUGGCCGACGACAGCACUAGUCAGUGAAGGGGCCCCCAAAGGGAAAGGAGAAGCCACAGGGCAGCCUGGAGGACCGGGGCAGCGGCAGGACCUCGGGAAGGGUCUAGGGUUUGGGUAAGCCCUGGGUUUGCUUCCUUCGGAGUUUAGGGGCUCCUCUCUGGGAUGCGCGAAGGCAGCGGCUGCAGCCCUCAUCCCAACACCCAGGUCUGUGCGGAGCAGACACACUGGCGUCGACGGCACCCACGGCCUCCAAGUCAGGGUGUCCCGGGACGUUAAAAAGCAGCAGCAGCAGCGCAGGGAGCGUGCCUAUUUGCCUCGGUGACAGUGCCCCCGCGCCACUGCCGUUCCUCCGCCCCUUCCGGCCCUCUGGUCCUGCGCAGAGACCCAGGAAGGUUCCUGGGACCAGCUGCCGCGGGGACACCCUCCGCGGGCCCGCGUCCAAGCGCCUACCGCCAGGAACCUGACCGCGGGACCAGGGUACCCUCCCUCCAGGCGGCGCGCGGGGGCGGUGGGCGUGGGCACCGCGAGGGGCGGGGCCUGCGCGUCGGACCGGGGCAACCUCCGUCACGCCGGCGCGCGGGGACGGUGGGCGUGGGCACGCGAGGGGCGGGGCCUGCGCGCCUUGCCCGGUACCCUCAGACCCGGCGGAUCCCGGGAAGCAGCUGCUGGUGGGUUCGCUCACGCGGGAGAGGAAGACGAGCGAGCCGCGGGGCCGGGCGCUGGCCGCCGCUGUGCAG